UACGUAGGGUGCAAGCGUUGUCCGGAAUUAUUGGGCGUAAAGAGCUCGUAGGCGGUCUGUCGCGUCUGCUGUGAAAACUCAGGGCUUAACCCUGAGCUUGCAGUGGGUACGGGCAGACUAGAGUGCGGUAGGGGGAGACUGGAAUUCCUGGUGUAGCGGUGAAAUGCGCAGAUAUCAGGAGGAACACCGGUGGCGAAGGCGGGUCUCUGGGCCGUAACUGACGCUGGAGGAGCGAAAGCAUGGGGGAGCGAACAGGA
rnacentral:rRNA from 1 species